ACGAGUUUGAUCAUGGCUCAGGAUGAACGCUAGCGGCAGGCUUAACACAUGCAAGUCGAGGGGCAGCGCGAUGUAGCAAUACAUUGGCGGCGACCGGCGCACGGGUGCGUAACACGUAUGGAACUUACCCUUUACUGGGAGAUAGCCCGGAGAAAUCCGGAUUAAUAUCCCAUAAUAAACGAAGUGGCAUCACUUUGUUUUGAAAGCUCCGGCGGUAAAGGAUGGCCAUGCGCACGAUUAGCUAGUAGGUGAGGUAACGGCUCACCUAGGCUACGAUCGUUAGGGGGCCUGAGAGGGUUAUCCCCCACACUGGUACUGAGACACGGACCAGACUCCUACGGGAGGCAGCAGUGAGGAAUAUUGCGCAAUGGAGGCAACUCUGGCGCAGCCAUGCCGCGUGCAGGAAGAAGGCGCUACGCGUUGUAAACUGCUUUUAACCGGGAAGAAACCCUCCGACGUGUCGGAGGUUGACGGUACCGGAGGAAUAAGCACCGGCUAACUUCGUG
rnacentral:rRNA from 1 species